rnacentral:rRNA from 1 species
UACGAAGGGGGCUAGCGUUGCUCGGAAUCACUGGGCGUAAAGGGUGCGUAGGCGGGUCUUUAAGUCAGGGGUGAAAUCCUGGAGCUCAACUCCAGAACUGCCUUUGAUACUGAAGAUCUUGAGUUCGGGAGAGGUGAGUGGAACUGCGAGUGUAGAGGUGAAAUUCGUAGAUAUUAGGAAGAACACCGGUGGCGAAGGCGGCCAUCUGGCUCGGUACUGACGCUCAGGCGCGAAAGCGUGGGGAGCAAACAGG